AGUGAACGCUGGCGGCAGGCCUAACACAUGCAAGUCGAGCGGCAGCGCGGGGGCAACCCUGGCGGCGAGCGGCGGACGGGUGAGGAAUUCGUCGGAAUCUGCCUUUUUGUGGGGGAUAAGGUAGGGAAACUUACGCUAAUCCCGCAUACGUCCUACGGGAGAAAGUGGGGGACCGCAAGGCCUCACGCGGAAUGAUGACCCGACGACCGAUUAGCUAGUUGGUGGGGUAAAGGCCCACCAAGGCGACGAUCGGUAGCUGGUCUGAGAGGAUGAUCAGCCACACUGGGACUGAGACACGGCCCAGACUCCUACGGGAGGCAGCAGUGGGGAAUAUUGCACAAUGGGCGCAAGCCUGAUCCAGCCAUGCCGCGUGUGUGAAGAAGGCCUUCGGGUUGUAAAGCACUUUUGUCCGGAAAGAAAUCCCUGGAGCUAAUACCUUCGGGGGAUGACGGUACCGGAAGAAUAAGCACCGGCUAACUUCGUG
rnacentral:rRNA from 1 species